rnacentral:rRNA from 1 species
UCGGACUGUGGUCUGCAACCCGACCACACGAAGCUGGAAUCGCUAGUAAUCGCGGAUCAGAAUGCCGCGGUGAAUACGUUCCCGGGUCUUGUACACACCGCCCGUCACACCAUGGGAGUCAGCAACGCCCGAAGUCAGUGACCCAACCUUUAAGGAGGGAGCUGCCGAAGGCGGGGCAGGUGACUGGGGUGAAGUCGUAACAAGGUAAC